rnacentral:rRNA from 1 species
CUUGGGGGUAAUUGAGUUUGCCCUGUCAUCGUAUCACCUUGAACAAAGCAUGUCGCUCAAAAUGGGGUCUUCAGACAAGGAGUGUUGAGCAUGGAAUGAGAGAAAACGAGAAGAGAUUGUGGAAGAAGUAACAUUUUUCUGGAAUUUUUUCUAAUGGCAAAUGGGAAUUAUAGGAGGAAGUUUGUAUUAUGAAGCUAGAGGUGAAAUUCUUGGAUUUUCAUAAGACAAACUAAGGCGAAGGCAUUCUUCAACGGAAUAUCCGUCGAUCAAGAACGAUAGAAGGGGAUCGAAGACGAUCAGAUACCGUCGUAGUCUCUUCAGUAAACUAUGCCGUCUUUGAAUGGGGAAGCGAUUUAAGUGAGGGGAAGGUGAAAGUCUUCUUUGAACUAAUGUCCAUCUCCGCGCAAUAAAAGAAAUUAAGAGAUUUUGGGUUCC